UACGGAGGAUCCAAGCGUUAUCCGGAAUCAUUGGGUUUAAAGGGUCCGUAGGCGGUUUAUUAAGUCAGUGGUGAAAUCUGGUCGCUCAACGAUCAAACGGCCAUUGAUACUGAUAGACUUGAAUUACUGGGAAGUAACUAGAAUAUGUAGUGUAGCGGUGAAAUGCUUAGAUAUUACAUGGAAUACCAAUUGCGAAGGCAGGUUACUACCAGUGGAUUGACGCUGAUGGACGAAAGCGUGGGGAGCGAACAGG
rnacentral:rRNA from 1 species